rnacentral:tRNA from 1 species
UUCGCCGUUAAGAUGUGCCUCAACAGGGCGGACUGUUAAUCCGUAUGUCACUGGUUCGAGUCCAGUCAGAGGAGCCA